UACAGAGGGUGCGAGCGUUAAUCGGAAUUACUGGGCGUAAAGCGCGCGUAGGCGGCUUUGCAAGUCGGAUGUGAAAUCCCCAGGCUCAACCUGGGAACUGCAUUCGAGACUGCAUUGCUAGAGUAUGGGAGAGGGAAGUGGAAUUUCAGGUGUAGCGGUGAAAUGCGUAGAUAUCUGAAGGAACAUCAGUGGCGAAAGCGACUUCCUGGACCAAUACUGACGCUCAAGUGCGAAAGCGUGGGGAGCAAACAG
rnacentral:rRNA from 1 species